AUCCUGAAUUCAUAAACCACUUUACCCUUUCAUCGGUUACGCCUAUAUUCUCCUCCUUUCAGGCUCCAUUCAUUUCAGACUUUCUCUCUAAAAAAACAAAAUGUUUCCGCCUUGAAUGUCUCAAUCCGAGAAAAGGAAGAUGAAGAAGUGAAAGAACAGGCCAAAUCCAGAAGAAGAGGAAGAUGAAGAAGUCGCAGCGGUAAACGAUGAAGAAAUUGGGGGCCAAAGUGAAAACUUUGAGGAAAGAGAAGAAGAAGAGGCUCCAAAAGCUAAGAAGAAGAAGAAGAAGGUAAAGAAGACUACGGAUGAGAUUGAUGAAGAAGCCGGGGAUGAAAGUGCAAAAGAAGUGGUGGAAAAAGAAGCUCCGAAAUCUAACAAUGGGUCGAGCAUAAUGACACCGAAGCCCUUUUCCAAACUACCCAUCUCGAAGGAGACGAUGAUGGCUAUCAAGGAGAUGGGAUUUGAGAAUAUGACGCGGAUUCAAGCUAGAGCUAUUCCGCAUUUACUGCAAGGCAAGGAUGUUAUGGGAGCUGCACAAACGGGUUCCGGAAAGACUCUUGCUUUCUUGAUACCGGCAGUGGAAUUAUUGCACCACCUCAAGUUUACUCAUUGGAAUGGAACUGGAGUCAUCAUCAUUUGCCCAACUAGAGAACUUGCUAUUCAAACACAUAGAGUGCAAAGGACCUUCUGAAAUACCAUUCACAGACUCUUGGGUAUGUGAUUGGUGGUGCGGCCCGAAGAGGAGAAGCAGAGCACCUUGCAAAGGGAGUAAAUGUUUUAGUAGCUGCCCCUGGUAGAUUGCUUGAUCACAUUCAAAAUACAAAAGGAUUCAUCUUCAAAAUUUUGAUGGCACAAUAUGGCAGCUUUACGGCAAAAAUAACUAAUAUCUUAAAUAGGCAUGAGGCUUGGUACUACUCUUGCAAAGGCUGCAAUAAAAAAGUAGAAAAACCUAUUUAUGACAAAUGUCAAAAUUGGAAAAAAACAAUGAAGAUUGUAUACCAAGGUAUGCGGUUAAAAUCAUAGUUGAAGAUGCGACAGAUAAUGCAAGAGUAACACUUUUUGAUGCAGCAGAAACUUUGAUAGGAUGCAAGCCUCAAAAAUUCAUGGCUGAUAUAAAAGAGAAAAAUAAUCAGAGUUCAUUCUUUUAAAAGUUUGUUCUCAACAUCGGAAAGACAUACAAGUUCCUUGUAAAGUUGGAUGAGAACUCAAAGGAUGAACGUGCACAAGGAAAGAUAAUAGCACAAGAAAUCCAACUCCAAGAAGACAUCACAAUCAACAUUGAUGACGAUGAUUCAGUUCUCAAUUUACCAAAAAUGAAGAUAAAGAUGGAGAAGUCUUGAUCAAGAGCCCACAAAAAUUAAACAUGAACAAUUUUUAAUUUUCAUUACAUUUACAAAUUGGUUGAAGGAUUUCGAAUGAACUUUUCAUAUGCUUUUAAGAUUAUGAACUGAUGAAUUUAAUUUGUUAGGACAAAUUAUGAUUUAUAAACAUAUGCUCAUAUAGUUGUCUGAUAACUAUUGCAUGCUUUGAUUGUUAUUGUAGUUAUUAGCUUAAAUUUAACAUUCAAUUGUGUUAAUCUAAAUACAUAUUCAGAUAAUAGUUCACUUUAUUACUUUAAAUUUUCAUGUCAACUAUUUUUUACUUAUCUAUACUGCACACAAACUAUUGUUGAUGAGUCCUUUGCAAGAAAUCUGAUGACCAAGCACAGAUUCCUGAAACUUUUGAGAGGAAACAAUAGCUUUCUACAGAGAAGGUUAUCAGUGUUCUUAAAAGGAUAAUCAAUGAAGAUUGCCUACUACUAGGUUUCAAACCGAAAGAAGAUCGUCCAGCUUGUAUGAUAUUACGAAUUCUUCCUAUUCAAACACCUACUGUAAGACCAUCUGUUAUGAUGGACAACUCUACUAGAAGUGAGGUAAA